rnacentral:rRNA from 1 species
AUUGAACGCUGGCGGCAUGCCUUACACAUGCAAGUCGAACGGCAGCACGGGUGCUUGCACCUGGUGGCGAGUGGCGAACGGGUGAGUAAUACAUCGGAACAUGUCCUGUAGUGGGGGAUAGCCCGGCGAAAGCCGGAUUAAUACCGCAUACGAUCUACGGAUGAAAGCGGGGGACCUUCGGGCCUCGCGCUAUAGGGUUGGCCGAUGGCUGAUUAGCUAGUUGGUGGGGUAAAGGCCUACCAAGGCGACGAUCAGUAGCUGGUCUGAGAGGACGACCAGCGACACUGGGACUGAGACACGGCCCAGACUCCUACGGGAGGCAGCAGUGGGGAAUUUUGGACAAUGGGCGAAAGCCUGAUCCAGCAAUGCCGCGUGUGUGAAGAAGGCCUUCGGGUUGUAAAGCACUUUUGUCCGGAAAGAAAUCCUUGGCACUAAUACGGUCGGGGGAUGACGGUACCGGAAGAAUAAGCACCGGCUAACUACGUG